GAAACUAGUGUUGAUUGUGGUAUAACCUUUUUUGAUACCGCUGAAGUUUAUGGCUCUAUGCUCUCACUUGGUGCUGUAAAGUCAGAAACUCUUCNAUUCAUCAAGGAAAGGAAAGAAACAGAUCCUGAAUUGGAGGUUGCUAUUGCAACAAAGUUCGCAGCUUUGCCUUGGAGGCUAGGACGUCAGAGUGUCUUAACUGCCCUUAAGGNNNNNCAUUUGUCGCCUUGGAGUUUCUUCAGUAGAGCUUUAUCAACUGCAUUGGCCUGGAAUAUGGGGAAAUGAAGGGUAUCUUGACGGCCUUGGAGAUGCAGUGGAGCAGGGCCUUGUGAAGGCAGUUGGCGUUUCAAACUACAGUGAAAGCCGACUUCGAUGCUUAUGAGAGGCUUAAGAAAAGAGGUAUUCCAUUGGCUUCAAACCAAGUGAAUUACAGCCUAAUAUAUAGGGCACCAGAGGAGAAUGGAGUGAAGGCAGCCUCACUUUGAUUGCAUAUUCUCCCAUUGCUCAAGGAGCUCUUACAGGAAAGUAUACACCAGAAAAUCUUCCAACUGGCCCUCGAAGCAGAAUUUACACACCAGAGUUUCUAAUAAAGCUCCAACAUCUGCUGAACAGAAUCAAGGAAAUAGGAGAGAACUACAAUAAAACUCCCACACAGGUGGCCUUGAACUGGCUAAUAGCACAGGAGAAUGUAGUUCCAAUCCCAGGAGCCAAAACUGCAGAACAGGCCAAGGAAUUUGUAGGUGCACUUGGGUGGAGACUCACAAGCGAAGAGAUCAAUGAGCUGCGCUCAAUGGCAUUGGAGAUACAACCUGUUAUUGGCUUCCCUGCUGAAAAGUUAUAAAUUUUAUUCAUGCAUUUAAGUAAAUGCAAGUCUGGCAAUUCUGUAGUAACUCAUUGAUCUCCUACAUAACUUUCCUAUUAAAAAAAAAAAAAAUCAGGGGUGUUGAAGUUGUUCACUAUCAUGUAGUUGCAUUUGCUACAGUAGGCUUGAAUACAUGUUAGGUAUAGGCAAUUAAGUUGUGUUUGUUGGUAAAGGAAGCUACUCU
rnacentral:misc_RNA from 1 species